CUGAGAGGACGAUCAGCCACACUGGAACUGAGACACGGUCCAGACUCCUACGGGAGGCAGCAGUGGGGAAUUUUGGACAAUGGGCGCAAGCCUGAUCCAGCCAUGCCGCGUGAGUGAAGAAGGCCUUCGGGUUGUAAAGCUCUUUCGGUGAAGACGAAACGGUUAGCGCUAAUAACGCUGACUAAUGACGGUACUCACAGAAGAAGCACCGGCUAACUACGUGCCAGCAGCCGCGGUAAUACGUAGGGUGCAGGCGUUAAUCGGAAUUACUGGGCGUAAAGCGUGCGCAGGCGGUUUGCUAAGACAGGUGUGAAAUCCCCGAGCUUAACUUGGGAAUUGCGCUUGUAACUGGCAAGCUAGAGUGUGGCAGAGGGGGGUGGAAUUCCACGUGUAGCAGUGAAAUGCGUAGAUAUGUGGAGGAACACCGAUGGCGAAGGCAGCCCCCUGGGUUAACACUGACGCUCAUGCACGAAAGCGUGGGGAGCAAACAGGAUUAGAUACCCUGGUAGUCCACGCCCUAAACUAUGUCAACUAGUUGUCGGGGAAGAAAUUCCUUGGUAACGAAGCUAACGCGUGAAGUUGACCGCCUGGGGAGUACGGCCGCAAGGUUAAAACUCAAAGGAAUUGACGGGGACCCGCACAAGCGGUGGAUUAUGUGGAUUAAUUCGAUGCAACGCGAAAAACCUUACCUACCCUUGACAUGCUAGGAAGCCCGCAGAGAUGUGGGUGUGCCCGAAAGGGAACCUAGACACAGGUGCUGCAUGGCUGUCGUCAGCUCGUGUCGUGAGAUGUUGGGUUAAGUCCCGCAACGAGCGCAACCCUUGCCAUUAGUUGCUACAUUCAGCUGGGCACUCUAAUGGGACCGCCGGUGACAAACCGGAGGAAGGUGGGGAUGACGUCAAGUCCUCAUGGCCCUUAUGGGUAGGGCUUCACACGUAAUACAAUGGUCGGUACAGAGGGCUGCCAACCCGCAAGGGGGAGCUAAUCCCAGAAAGCCGAUCGUAGUCCGGAUUGUAGUCUGCAACUCGACUGCAUGAAGCCGGAAUCGCUAGUAAUCGCGGAUCAGCAUGUCGCGGUGAAUACGUUCCCGGGUCUUGUACACACCGCCCGUCACACCAUGGGAGUGGGUUCCACCAGAAGUAGUUAGCCUAACCGCAAGGAGGGCGAUUACCACGGUGAGAUUCAUGACUGGGGUGAAGUCGUAACAAGGUA
rnacentral:rRNA from 1 species